rnacentral:rRNA from 1 species
AGGACGAACGCUGGCGGCGUGCUUAACACAUGCAAGUCGAGCGGAAAGGCCCUUCGGGGUACUCGAGCGGCGAACGGGUGAGUAACACGUGAGCAACCUGCCCUUAGCUUCGGGAUAGCUCCGGGAAACCGGAAUUAAUACCGAAUAUGACCAAGGCCGACAUCAGUCUUGGUGGAAAGUUUUUCGGCUAGGGAUGGACUCGCGGCCUAUCAGCUAGUUGGUGAGGUAACGCUCACCAAGGCAACGACGGGUA